UGAUGUAACUUAUUUCUGCAGAUGAAAUUCCAGAUGAAAAGUUACCCCUGACUUAUAUUUUCAUUCCCACCUGCAUCAUCAUCUUGAUUUUUGUGGCAGCCCUGAUAUUCCUCAGAAGACAACUCUGCCCGAAGGUCUCACACAGAACAGGUCUGCACCCGCACCCCAAGAGCUGGAAAUUUUCUGAUUUGACAGACUCAAGAGACAUGAAUUAAGGACCAAGGAAUAACUCAGUUUGCUACACCUGCAGCUUGCACUUUUCAAAAAAAAUUUUGAACAACACAGCACUUUAGAUUUAAACCCACAAAAAGUUAGCUGAGCCCUGGAUAAUGGCACGGGCAUAGCACUAAACCUCUCCAAAUUCUUGUCAUAUAUAGCCUGGUCAUGAUGUUUCUUAAGUUUACUGAUACCAACUGUCACAAGGUUGCUCAAUACUGCUGGACAGUCAAUAGCAAUGGUAUCCUGGGUAUUGCCCUUUUUGUUCAGUUAAUGUUUGUUUGGGUUUCUGUACUUUGAAUGAAAAGCCUACUUGGAGGCACUUCUUGACUACUGGUUAAUUUCUCUUCUGGAAAGAGUUAGGGCCCAGUGGCCCCUGGUCCCAGUCUGAGGUUCUUUUCCAUCACUACUGGAUUGAAAGAAGAGAACCAUUUCCCCCAAAAGUAUUGAAAAGGACAGAUUUCAAGAACAGAGAAGAGUUGGCAUUUGUUCUUGUAUGAUUGACAGAAAGCCAAAGAGACUUCCUCUGCUGGGGAAAGGGUAAUAUUUGAUCUCUCCCCCAUAAUCUAAGAAUUACUUGAAUUGUCUAAUUCGGGCUAGGGCAGGGAACCAACAAGCACGAGGAUACAAUGUACAUCUAGUAACUACAGACCUUCUGGGAGCCCUCUAAAGGUAUUUGUCUAAAGAGAAAGUAUAGAAAUAUGGAAUAGUCCUAUAAACUAUAUAAUAAAAUAGACUUAAAUUCAAAAAUAUCUAUAGCAACUUAGGUCUAUCAUUAUUCAGUGUUGAAAUUAUGUACUUAUGAUUGUAAUUUCUCCAAGGACAAUUCUCAUUUUCCACACAAUGCUGAAUACUGACUGAAAAUAUGGAAGUGUUAAUGUGGCAGCCAUGUCUAAUUUGCCCUCAGGGGAGGGUUGAGUGAAAAGAUGAAUUCUAUUGCAGUCACUUUGAGUUUGAGAUGUCUAUGCUGUAACUCAUUCAAGUUAUAAUAUAACUUGCUAUAACGUUAUAGCAGGCAACUGGUAACUUCUGGCCUGGAAUUCAAGAGAGAGACUAAGACAGGAUAUGUAGAUCUGGAAAUCAUCUCCAUACAGUUGAUAAUUGAACCCACGGGUGUUUAUGACGUCACCAAGUGAGAGAGAAGAGAACAGGGGCCUGAAGUAGAGUCUCAAUGCAUGUCUAUAUGGAUGAGUGGUGGAUUUGGAUGAUGACCCAAUACAGAAGAUUGAAAAGACAAGUCAGACAAGUCAGAACAGAAUCAGGAGAGAGCAGUGUCACGAAAGCCCAGAGAGAAGAAAGCAUCCAGCCAGGAAGACUAGGUAGUCAGCAAUAUCAGAUGGGGAAGAGAGGUCAAGAAGGAUGAGGACUGAGAAAAGAACACUGGAUUUGGCAGUUUAAAAAAAAACCACUGAUAACUUUGGACAAAGUUUUAAUAAGAUUGAAGGCCAGAUUGCAAAAAAGUAGAGGAAAUGGAAGUAAUGAUUAUUAGAUAGAGAUUUCUAGGAGUUUGACUAAGAAAAGGAGGAAAGAUAUAAGACGAUAUCUUGAAGGGAUGAUAGGGUCUAGUAAAAGUUAUUUGUUUGUUGUUUGUAGUUGUUUUGAGACUGGUGAUGCACAGUCUGGAGACAUGGUUAGUUUGGGGGUCAUAUUUGUAGGCAGUGAGGAAGAAACCAAUUAAGAAGGAGAAAUUGAAGAUUACUGAGAGAGAGGAUGAUUGUGGGGACAAUCUGCUGCAGAAGACAGAAAAGGAUGGGAUCAAGGGAACAUUUAGAGGAGUCAGUCUUAGUGAGGAGAAGAGUCACUUUGGCAUCAAAGGCUAGAUUAAAGGAGCAGAAAAUGGAGAAUUGUCACAGGGUUGUGAGAUAUAGAGAACAGGAGAACAGGGACCUCACUGUAAGGGUGGUUGGAGAGGCCGACUUUCAGGGAAUUUCCACAAGCCCACCCGGGACAACAAAGCUACACAAGCAUUUAUCGCCAUUUUACAAAUGAGCAAACUGAAACAUAAAGUGUUUAAAUGACUUGUCCUCUGUUGCAUAGCUAGUAAGUAUUAAAAGACUAUAUAUGAACCUGA